GGCGUCCUUAUUGGUCAUCACCUCAGCUGGAUAAUCACUUGGCCUACCCAUUGCCGAAAGGCAUUGGUAAACCGUUGAAAGUCUUCCGUGACCGGGAUAGGGAAUUGUAAUUAUUUCCCCUGAACGACGAAUUCCUUGUAAAUGUGAGCCGUCAGUUCGCACU
rnacentral:ncRNA from 1 species